GACGAACGCUGGCGGCGUGCCUAAUACAUGCAAGUAGAACGCUGAAGGAGGAGCUUGCUUCUCCGGAUGAGUUGCGAACGGGUGAGUAACGCGUAGGUAACCUGCCUGGUAGCGGGGGAUAACUAUUGGAAACGAUAGCUAAUACCGCAUAAGAGUAGAUGUCGCAUGACAUUUGCUUAAAAUGUGCAACUGCACCACUACCAGAUGGUCCUGCGUUGUAUUAGCUAGUUUGUGAGGUAACGGCUCACCAAGGCAACGAUACAUAGCCGACCUGAGAGGGUGAUCGGCCACACUGGGACUGAGACACGGCCCAGACUCCUACGGGAGGCAGCAGUAGGGAAUCUUCGGCAAUGGACGGAAGUCUGACCGAGCAACGCCGCGUGAGGGAAGAAGGUUGUCGGAUCGUAAAGCUCUGUUGUAAGAGAAGAACGAGUGUGAGAGUGGAAAGUUCACACUGUGACGGUAUCUUAACAGAAAGGGACGGCUAACUACGUG
rnacentral:rRNA from 1 species